rnacentral:rRNA from 1 species
UAGGCUGAGGUGUUAGGCAAAUCCGGCACCUUAAGGCUGAGAGUCGAGACCACUGGUCCUUUGUGACCGGGAAGUGGUUGAUGCCAUGCUUCCAGGAAAAUCUUCUAAGCUUCAGGCUAUUCGAGACCGUACCCCAAACCGACACAGGUGGUCAGGUAGAGAAUACUAAGGCGCUUGAGAGAACUCGGGUGAAGGAACUCGGCAAAAUUGUACCGUA